AGCUUGUCGGUAGCCAAUAGCCUUUCCCUCAGGUUUUAGAAAUCCUGUCUCAACUCCCCUCAUUGCCGCAGCCUGAUGUUGUUAGUACUGGCAUGCAUGACCACCGUGUGCAGCUCCGGAUUUCAGUCUAGGAUGGCCGUAAGCUCCCGGUAAUGUCACACACCCUGGCUUCAGGGAAGCAGAAAGUCUUUGCCCCAACAACCACCACAUCCCGGACAAUGGAACUCCCGACGAUGGCUACCUUGGGAGGAGGGGUCGUGGAUUCCCAGAGCCAGAGAUCCUGGAUGGCUGAUGUAUGAAGGGGGCGUGGUUGGCUCAGCAACCCAGGAUCAGAGGUUGAGUGGGAAGGGCGUGGGGGGGCGGAGUAGGUCAUUUGACAGAGGGCCCCAGUGAAGUCAGGAGGCUCAGAGCCGAAAAACGGUUAGGGAGCCGUAGGUCUGAACGAGUGGGAGGGGGAAAAUUCAUUGGAAUCGUCCUCAUCUCUUCCUUCUAACUCGAUUCCACUUUACUUCUGAUGGUGUAGAAGAAAAUGCAGUAGAUCUCUGGUUCUUGUCGGUGGGAUGUGAAAGUGGUCCAAGGUAGUAUCCACAGUAGCUACUGCAGAGGAGCCCAAUCUCGUAGAGCACCCAGAAUUUCCCCUCGGUCAUUUAGAAUUGUCGCAUCAAAAAUAGCAUGCAGUCUUGAAGUCUCCUUAGCCAGAGCGUGAUGUUCUCUUAGGACCCUGUUCUCCUCUAGUAGCUCAAUGAUCCUGGCCCUUUGAGGCACGGAGCUGUUUGCGUUUAUCACAAGUAUAUAGGUUUGAUCACUUAUAGGGAUCUCCUCAUUUAUGAAGAAACAGGGUUGACUUCCCCCUAGUGUCCAUGGAGAGAACUGCGCUGGAUUGUCCAGUGAGAAAGCAGCUUAUUAAAGCAUUCAUAUCCAACAGAACCAGGUCCCAGUUGUAAAUCAGAACUUGUUCUCAACUGGCCUACCUGGUUAAAUAAAGGUGUGGAAAGCUCCUGGAGACGUACCCAGAGAGACUUCUACAAAGUAUUGACCCAGGGGUGUGAAUGUUUAGUAAAUGAGAUAUUUCUGUAUUUCAUUUUCAAUAUAUUUGAGAAAAUGUCAUUUUGUGUUAUUGUGUCAACUUCAAUCCAUUUUUGAAUUCAGGCUGUAACACAACACAAUUUGGAAUAAGUCAAGCAGAUGAAUACUUUCUAAAGGCACUAUACAGAGUAAUGGGAAAGGCGUUGCUUAAUUGUCUUUAUACGUCCAUACUUUACCCAUGAAUAUGAAAAAUAAAAGCAAAGUACCUUUGAAAAGAAGAUGGACCAGACCACCUUUUAUCAGUAUCUGUUUGGAAUCUUAUGAAAUAAUAAGAAUUAUUUCACUUUUAGCACCUAGCAAUUGUGACCACAAAUGUUUUAUUUAUUCCUCUUACCAGUAGGCUAUUAUCUGUUAAAGGCUAAUGUGUACUAUGUUGAAAAAAGCCACUAUCAUUCAUGUUCCACAAUGCUUGAAAGUAAAUUACAG
ensembl:lncRNA